ACUAGUUGGGUGUAACCCCUAAUAGAUUAUAAUGAGGGUAUAUAAGCAAGCGUAUCAUUCAGCACGAUUUGCGGGAAAGCAGUCAUCCAUAUUGGUUGAAGCAGUUGUUCUUCACUUUUAUUCUGUUUUCUAUAAAGUCACAGCACUGGGCAUCAUCUGCAGUCAAGACUGGGGUCAUAAGCUGUCAUAGGAGGCCAAUCCACAAUUGGGCUUUGACAACUUUGCGACGCCUUUGUGAUUUCUCUGAGACGCUUUAAAUAAGCUGUUUAUCAGUUAUUUCCAGAGAUUGUAUUACAAUUAUGUAAUCAUUAAAAGUUAUAGUGUUGAGGGAAAACUAAAUUAAAUGGACAUGUAAUGAACCCAG